rnacentral:tRNA from 1 species
GGCCCUAUCGUCUAACGGUUAGGACGAGAGCUUUUCAAGCUCUAAAUCCGGGUUCGAUUCCCGGUGGGGUCACAA